AGAUUAAGUUAUUAAGGGCGCACGGUGGAUGCCUUGGCACUAGAAGCCGAUGAAGGACGUUACUAACGACGAUAUGCUUUGGGGAGCUGUAAGUAAGCUUUGAUCCAGAGAUUUCCGAAUGGGGAAACCCAGCAUGAGUUAUGUCAUGUUAUCGAUAUGUGAAUACAUAGCAUAUCAGAAGGCACACCCGGAGAACUGAAACAUCUUAGUACCCGGAGGAAGAGAAAGAAAAUUCGAUUCCCUUAGUAGCGGCGAGCGAAACGGGAAGAGCCCAAACCAACAAGCUUGCUUGUUGGGGUUGUAGGACACUCUAUACGGAGUUACAAAGGACGACAUUAGACGAAUCAUCUGGAAAGAUGAAUCAAAGAAGGUAAUAAUCCUGUAGUCGAAAAUGUUGUCUCUCUUGAGUGGAUCCUGAGUACGACGGAGCACGUGAAAUUCCGUCGGAAUCUGGGAGGACCAUCUCCUAAGGCUAAAUACUCUCUAGUGACCGAUAGUGAACCAGUACCGUGAGGGAAAGGUGAAAAGCACCCCGGAAGGGGAGUGAAAUAGAACCUGAAACCGUGUGCUUACAAGUAGUCAGAGCCCGUUAAUGGGUGAUGGCGUGCCUUUUGUAGAAUGAACCGGCGAGUUACGAUUUGAUGCAAGGUUAAGCAGUAAAUGUGGAGCCGUAGCGAAAGCGAGUCUGAAUAGGGCGUUUAGUAUUUGGUCGUAGACCCGAAACCAGGUGAUCUACCCUUGGUCAGGUUGAAGUUCAGGUAACACUGAAUGGAGGACCGAACCGACUUACGUUGAAAAGUGAGCGGAUGAACUGAGGGUAGCGGAGAAAUUCCAAUCGAACCUGGAGAUAGCUGGUUCUCUCCGAAAUAGCUUUAGGGCUAGCCUCAAGUGAUGAUUAUUGGAGGUAGAGCACUGUUUGGACGAGGGGCCCCUCUCGGGUUACCGAAUUCAGACAAACUCCGAAUGCCAAUUAAUUUAACUUGGGAGUCAGAACAUGGGUGAUAAGGUCCGUGUUCGAAAGGGAAACAGCCCAGACCACCAGCUAAGGUCCCAAAAUAUAUGUUAAGUGGAAAAGGAUGUGGCGUUGCCCAGACAACUAGGAUGUUGGCUUAGAAGCAGCCAUCAUUUAAAGAGUGCGUAAUAGCUCACUAGUCGAGUGACACUGCGCCGAAAAUGUACCGGGGCUAAACAUAUUACCGAAGCUGUGGAUUGUCCUUUGGACAAUGGUAGGAGAGCGUUCUAAGGGCGUUGAAGCAUGAUCGCAAGGACAUGUGGAGCGCUUAGAAGUGAGAAUGCCGGUGUGAGUAGCGAAAGACGGGUGAGAAUCCCGUCCACCGAUUGACUAAGGUUUCCAGAGGAAGGCUCGUCCGCUCUGGGUUAGUCGGGUCCUAAGCUGAGGCCGACAGGCGUAGGCGAUGGAUAACAGGUUGAUAUUCCUGUACCACCUAUAAUCGUUUUAAUCGAUGGGGGGACGCAGUAGGAUAGGCGAAGCGUGCGAUUGGAUUGCACGUCUAAGCAGUAAGGCUGAGUAUUAGGCAAAUCCGGUACUCGUUAAGGCUGAGCUGUGAUGGGGAGAAGACAUUGUGUCUUCGAGUCGUUGAUUUCACACUGCCGAGAAAAGCCUCUAGAUAGAAAAUAGGUGCCCGUACCGCAAACCGACACAGGUAGUCAAGAUGAGAAUUCUAAGGUGAGCGAGCGAACUCUCGUUAAGGAACUCGGCAAAAUGACCCCGUAACUUCGGGAGAAGGGGUGCUCUUUAGGGUUAACGCCCAGAAGAGCCGCAGUGAAUAGGCCCAAGCGACUGUUUAUCAAAAACACAGGUCUCUGCUAAACCGUAAGGUGAUGUAUAGGGGCUGACGCCUGCCCGGUGCUGGAAGGUUAAGAGGAGUGGUUAGCUUCUGCGAAGCUACGAAUCGAAGCCCCAGUAAACGGCGGCCGUAACUAUAACGGUCCUAAGGUAGCGAAAUUCCUUGUCGGGUAAGUUCCGACCCGCACGAAAGGCGUAACGAUUUGGGCACUGUCUCAACGAGAGACUCGGUGAAAUCAUAGUACCUGUGAAGAUGCAGGUUACCCGCGACAGGACGGAAAGACCCCGUGGAGCUUUACUGUAGCCUGAUAUUGAAAUUCGGCACAGCUUGUACAGGAUAGGUAGGAGCCUUUGAAACGUGAGCGCUAGCUUACGUGGAGGCGCUGGUGGGAUACUACCCUAGCUGUGUUGGCUUUCUAACCCGCACCACUUAUCGUGGUGGGAGACAGUGUCAGGCGGGCAGUUUGACUGGGGCGGUCGCCUCCUAAAAGGUAACGGAGGCGCUCAAAGGUUCCCUCAGAAUGGUUGGAAAUCAUUCAUAGAGUGUAAAGGCAUAAGGGAGCUUGACUGCGAGACCUACAAGUCGAGCAGGGUCGAAAGACGGACUUAGUGAUCCGGUGGUUCCGCAUGGAAGGGCCAUCGCUCAACGGAUAAAAGCUACCCCGGGGAUAACAGGCUUAUCUCCCCCAAGAGUUCACAUCGACGGGGAGGUUUGGCACCUCGAUGUCGGCUCAUCGCAUCCUGGGGCUGUAGUCGGUCCCAAGGGUUGGGCUGUUCGCCCAUUAAAGCGGUACGCGAGCUGGGUUCAGAACGUCGUGAGACAGUUCGGUCCCUAUCCGUCGUGGGCGUAGGAAAUUUGAGAGGAGCUGUCCUUAGUACGAGAGGACCGGGAUGGACAUACCUCUGGUGUACCAGUUGUCGUGCCAACGGCAUAGCUGGGUAGCUAUGUGUGGACGGGAUAAGUGCUGAAAGCAUCUAAGCAUGAAGCCCCCCUCAAGAUGAGAUUUCCCAACUUCGGUUAUAAGAUCCCUCAAAGAUGAUGAGGUUAAUAGGUUCGAGGUGGAAGCAUGGUGACAUGUGGAGCUGACGAAUACUAAUCGAUCGAAGACUUAAUCAAAUU
rnacentral:rRNA from 1 species